rnacentral:rRNA from 1 species
CGUAGGGUGCGAGCGUUAAUCGGAAUUACUGGGCGUAAAGCGUGCGCAGGCGGUUUUGUAAGACAGAUGUGAAAUCCCCCGGGCUCAACCUGGGACCUGCAUUUGCGACUGCAAGGCUAGAGUACGGUAGAGGGGGAUGGAAUUCCGCGUGUAGCAGUGAAAUGCGUAGAUAUGCGGAGGAACACCGAUGGCGAAGGCAAUCCCCUGGACCUGUACUGACGCUCAUGCACGAAAGCGUGGGGAGCAAACAGGAUUAGAUACCCUGGUAGUCCACGCCCUAAACGAUGUCAACUGGUUGUUGGGUCUUUACUGACUCAGUAACGAAGCUAACGCGUGAAGUUGACCGCCUGGGGAGUACGGCCGCAAGGUUG